ensembl:lncRNA
UGCCAGUGUGGCAGGUUGAGUGUUGCUCCUCCUCCACUCAGGUGAUUUCUGGUGGGCAGAUUGCAGAUUGGUUUCACCUGUAUAAGUGCUGCGCCUUCUCUGGCGCGCACACUGCUGCCUGGCACUCGUGGCGAAGACUCGGUGUGGCGUCUGUUAGUUGUUGGUUUGUUGUCGGUUGGUGUGGCGUGCUUCAGUCACUUGAAGCGUUGUUGGCCGUGUUGUUCGGGGGCGGCAUUGUGAAGAGUGAGGGGAGUGUGGCAUCCGCUCUGUACUGUUGCCGCAGCCGGUGAUCAGUUUCGGGGGGCGUAAAGCUCUCUUCGUUCGGGUAAGCGUGCUCUUUUGUUAACCUGCUGGUUGUGUUAGCUUUGUGCUUAGCCGUCUGCUCUCUGUCCUGCUGUAGCUGUUGGAGCCUUUUGCUUUUCUUCCUCCUGUGCUCUGGUGAAGCUGCCCUGCACGGCUCUGUGACGUAGCCUACACCUGGCGAUCCAAAACGUAAACCAUCCACGGCCUCCGGUCCUGGGGCGGCCGCUCUGUCUUCGCCAGCCACUCCGUCUUCUCCAUCCACUCCGUCGUCUUCAUCAUCUUCGGCUGCUCCGGCACCGUUGCCUUUUUCCACACAGUCCGAUGUGGCGGUUGGAUUCCCACGCAGCGCUAAGUUUUCAGUCCCACCACAACUCUUAUUGGUUUGGUUAAUUGUCUGCUUUUCCUUUCAUCUUUUUUGUGUUUGUGUUCUUUAGUUUAUUUGUUUGGGUUAAAUCCUAUACAUACAUUUAUUUUUGUGUUGCGUUCUGUUGACCCAUUUGGGGAUAAGCAUAUCAAUAUUUUCUUAUUAUUUUCUGAUCUAUUGCUUUGGGGUUCAACUGAUUAAUUUCUGUUUGGUUUAACAUAGCUGUUGGGUUUGUGUUUGGGGUGUUAAAUACGCCUGGCCCCCACCCACAGUUAAAUUUCGUUUGUUUCCUUAUUACUUGUCUUAAGAAUUAGUUGGGUUUCUGUAUAUUUGUAUUUGGGUUUAAAUAUUUGGUUAUGAGUCAGUUCUGUUCCUUUGUGUGGGUGUGAGUGCUGUGUGUGUGUGUGUGUGUGUAUGUGUGUGUUUUAUUAUAGUCCUCUGUUUUAAAUGAUUGUCAUAACAACCUGAGUGUCUCGCCACAACAGUAGUGUAAUUUUUGUGUUUCUUUCUUGUGUUUCCAGGACAGGAGCUGGUGUAGCGGGCGGCAGGCUUGGUUUGUAGUGGUUCUUUUGUGGUUUUGAGUUGAUUUAGUCUGACCGCCUCGCUACAGCCUAGCUCUGUGCCUGUUGUAUUUAUUUCUACUUUGGGGUUUUGAUUCUGCUUACUGUAAAUAAAUAAAAUUAUAUCUUUUGUAAGUCCGUCUCUCGCCCUUUAUACAAAACGUGCAACGAAUCUGUGUGACCUCUGGUUGGCCAAAGUACAGGGCCAAGGUUGUAUUUCCUGGGGUGUAAUUCCCCAGGUGGCGUUGUCGAGCAACUUUCCCCCCCCUUCUCUCCAUUCCGCCACACCAGUCUGAAAAAUGUUUUGGACACAACAGUGAAAAUGGUGAAUUUUGUGAAGGCCAGGCCCCUGAACUCUCGCAUUUUUUCUGCAUUAUGCAGUGAAAUGGGC